GACGGAAGGUGCAAGCGUUGCUCGGAAUCACUGGGCGUAAAGGGUGCGUAGGCGGCUUGGUGGGUCUGGUGUGAAAGCCCCGGGCUCAGCCCGGGAAGGGCACUAGAAACUGCCGAGCUGGAGUGCCGGAGGGGAGAGUGGAAUUCCUGGUGUAGCGGUGAAAUGCGUAGAUAUCAGGAGGAAUACCGGUGGCGAAAGCGGCAUCCUGGACCGGCAUUGACGCUGAGGCGCGAAAGCCAGGGGAGCAAACGGG
rnacentral:rRNA from 1 species